CAGUUCGGAUUGUAGUCUGCAACUCGACUACAUGAAGCUGGAAUCGCUAGUAAUCGCAGAUCAGAAUGCUGCGGUGAAUACGUUCCCGGGUCUUGUACACACCGCCCGUCACACCAUGGGAGUCGGAAAUGCCCGAAGCCGGUGACCCAACCAAAAGGAGGGAGCCGUCGAAGGCAGGUCUGAUAACUGGGGUGAAGUCGUAACAAGGUAGC
rnacentral:rRNA from 1 species